UCUUUCAUCUCUGCCUCUUCCCUCUUUCCUCCAUCAACAAAUUUUGUGGAGAUGAAAUUAAUAAUCUCACAAACCCAGAAGAUAAUAGGAUCAUAGGAACAUGGUGGCGGGAUCGAGAGUGAGAUGAGAGGCGACAACGGCUUCUUUCCUCCAUCAACAAAUUUUGUGGAGAUGAAAUUAAUAAUCUCACAAACCCAGAAGAUAAUAGGAUCAUAGGAACAUGGUGGCGGGAUCGAGAGUGAGAUGAGAGGCGACAACGGCUUGAUCGACGGCAAGCGGUUGAGUAUUGAGUCGACGACGACGGGCUUACUGGAGUUUUGGGAUGAAGGAGACGAAGUUGUUGCUUCUAAGCUUGAGAAUCCGAUGAGAUCGCUUGAAGUAGAUUCGAUUCCACCCUCGCCAAUUCCAUAAGAUCGCUCGACUUGGCCUAAGCAACACUCCUUCCCGUCGACGGUGGAAAUAAUCUACAGAAACGCCGGCGGAGCAACUCCAAACGACAGCUCCUCCACCCUCCAGACUGGCGAGAUUGAUUUAAGAUUAUAAUUUUCACCUUAUACAUAUUCAGAUUCAAAAUAAACAGAAUCACAAUCAUCUCUCCCUCCCCCGAAGAAUCCUCUGUUUCGUUCACAAGAGAUGAAUAUGAUUCUCUAGUGAAUGAUUUCAAGUUUGGGGUUUUUGUGAAGUUUAUUGACAGCUAUAGUUUGUUUUCACAUUUUUUAAUCUGUUUAUGUGAUUCAAGAUGUUUAAGAUUGAGAAUGAAUAUGUGUUGUUCAGGAAAUUCAAGAAGACGAAGAAAUUAAGAGCAGACAAAAUCGUAUUCUGCAAAUUGAAGAACAAGAAAGAGUAAUGUGAAGGGCAAGAAUGUAAUUAUAAUUAUUCAUUCAAUAUCACACUCCUAAACAAAAAUUUCUAUUUUACUUCAUAUAAAUCAAUAACACUUAAUAUCACAAUAUCUUAAAUAUCAUAAUAUUCA
rnacentral:lncRNA from 1 species